rnacentral:lncRNA from 1 species
UGAGGCAUGUGUAACAUCAAUAUAAAUAUUUUGAAUAAAAUGAGAGAAUUAAACUAGGAAUAUAAGGUUAAGUAUACACAUUUUUGGUUAUCUUUGGAUAUCCAUUCCGGUUCGGAUAUACCGUUCGGAUAUCCAAUCUCUCCUAACACAAUAUUCAUUGGGAUGUUUUGUUACUUUGGUUUGAAUUUUGAUUCGAGUUUUUGGGUCGGAUUCGAGUACGGGGUUCAUGUAUCGGAUAAAUGCUCAUGCAUAUCUAAUAAGGUGAUUUUGUGUGGAUUGACGAAAAUACUCUUCUGCACUUUUGUGAAAUUAUGUGAAUUUAUCAAAUGAUAUUAUAUCUAGUAAAAUGAUGUGUUAUUUGACUAAAUGGUGAUUGUGUAUCAAGAAUAAAUAUGAACGAAAGUAUAUGUUUUUG